UAGUAUGAAAGUGAGAUGGCUGAAUUAGAUGUUUGAGACUUCUGCUAACACAGUUUUAUAUACAAGUAUAAACAUUGAAACUAGAGAACAGAAGCGAAAUUGCAAGGUAAAGGUAAGAUGUGUGAAGUGAAAAUAAUAAGUAUUAACGAUAAGUAAAAUCACAGCGUUAGUGUUCGGUGAGAACGUGUCAGGAAUGCGAAAAAGUGUGGAAGUAGAAAUAAAGGUUGUCAAGGGGAGUUCACUCUAGCGAAAUUAAAAACGCAGACGACACUGGCUGACAUGACAAUCGAAGGAAGCGGACGUGUGCGUAUAGAGAAGAAGUUUCGAAGUCAGCGAUUAAGAAGUAAUUCUUUGCCUAACCAAGAUUCCACUCCGCCGUGCAUCACUCGCUUCGGCAGCGACCUUGAGCUACAUUGAAUAAACUGAAGUGAUGGUCACCCUUUUGCAGUUAAUUUCUGUGGCUCUCGAGCUGACCACCAUGCCACUGUCCGUCCGGCGACCCUCUGCUGGUCCACAGUCCGAGCCGCCUCGUGGACCACACGACGCAGGACAGGAGGACGAAGGCGACGGAAUGACAGAAACGAAG